GAGAGAGACAUGCGCAGUGAGUGCCUCCCGUCUCUUCUACCCGAACCCCCCCUCCCCCCCCCAGCAGAGAGACCCCAGCAGCAGCAGCAGCUGAUGAUGAAGAGAGAGGCAGUGGCAGAGGGGGGGCACCUUUUAUUUCUAUUUUUAAAGGGACAGGACACUAAUUUUACCCCACUUCAACCUUGAAUUGAGGGGGGUGGGGGGAAGGCGGCUGAGUUCCUUCCCCCACCCUCCAGCCCUGAGACCUGAGAGGGGGAUUGAGCCUGAGAGAGAAGAAGAAGGAGUUUCUUCUUCUUCGAAAACCCCCAUCCACGACUCCUACCCCCUCACCCCUCCACUAGCCUCCCUCCCGAGCCCCCUCCACCCUCCUCCUCUUUGGCCGUGAGAGGAGGAGAGAAAGAGACCAAAAGCCUCUUAGCAACACAGACCCUUCUCUGCUGCUGCUGCUGCUGCUACUGCUGCUGCUGCUUGGCCCUGGCUGGAGACAUCUCACUACACCCAGGAGCAGCCACUUCCCCAGCUCUCCUCCUCCUUCGCCUCCUCCUCCUCCACUCCCCCCCCUUUAUUACCCUUUGUGUCAUCCUCCACAGCUCCAGGGAAGGCACUCAAAAGUGGGGGGCAGGAAAGGAAUAGAGAGCAGCUCUGACCAUCUUUAUGUCUUCUUAGAAAGUCUUCCACAAACAUCAGCCAGAACUUCUAAGACUACACACAUGAGCAUGUACUUACUUUCAACAAAGACCAAGAUUCUUAGUAUCCUGGGAGUUUUAGUGCUACCCUCUGGCCUGUCAACCACAACUCCUAGUCCCUCUUGACCUCAGAAGGGAGCAAAGGUGGGUGUCUGAUCCUUCCAGGAUUUCA
rnacentral:lncRNA from 1 species